rnacentral:rRNA from 1 species
AUUGUCCUACGGGGCGCAGCAGUCGGGAAUAUUGCGCAAUGGAGGAAACUCUGACGCAGUGACGCCGCGUGCAGGAAGAAGGUUUUCGGAUUGUAAACUGCUUUAGACAGGGAAGAAACAAGACAGUACCUGUAGAAUAAGCUCCGGCUAACUACGUGCCAGCAGCCGCGGUAAUACGUAGGGAGCAAGCGUUAUCCGGAUUUACUGGGUGUAAAGGGUGCGUAGGUGGCAGGGCAAGUCAGAUGUGAAAGCCGGGGGCUCAACCCCGGUACUGCAUUUGAAACUG